CAUGAACAUAGAGGUGAUUUUUGGCCAGAAGAAUCAUUUUUUGGGGUGUUGUCUGUUGUAACUUCAAAUGGUUGCUCAGUGACUGGUUAAGCAAGGACUGCUUACAUAGCAAAAUUUUUGCUACCUAAUUAUAAUCUUUGAGGAUUACAA